UGAAGAGGAGGAGGAGGAGGAGGAGGAGGAGGAGGCGGCGGCCCCGACAGCUCAGCCGGUAUCAACAUUUUGUUAAAGCGCGAGCCCACGAAGACAUUAGCGCCGCCUCUGCAUCAAGUCACCAUGCAUCAACAUCAAAGGACACGUCACAAUUCUUGUUACAGAUGUGAGAGCCAAAUCGGGCAUGCACCCUGAGGAAGAGGAGUGGGCCAGUCGAGCUCAAAAGUGUGCAGAAGCAAGUGAUGUACCAGCCCCCAGUUGGACACCACAUGGAGGGGGUGCCGCUCGCUGCUCCCCAUCCGCAGUAUUGAGGCGACAAACGAGGGAAUAUUUCUUGAGAAAAUGAUGGAGAAUCCUGAGUUCUGGAAGCCAUUAGUUAUUUUCCUUCAGACAAUAUACCGUCAAUGCAUUUUUAGAGUCUCUCACCCCUAUCUAAUUGUCAUACUUCAUGGAGCCUUCCCCUCCAAACAUUCCUUCAUUACGCUAUGAUCGAUACCUCAGGUCGAGAUAAUGAUUGUAGUCGUCCCAAACAAUGUGUCACUUGUAACAGUUGGUGUCAGUCCUUUUAUUGGCAUUUGAUAGUCACUCGGUGUUGGUCUUAUGAGCCACUUUACCAAGAGUCACGCGCAUCGGUAUUUACAGGCAAUACGGUGUCUGCUCUGGAUCGGGCGCGCGGCUCCUUCCUCAGCCCCGUGGCCGUCAGGUGCGAUGCGCAUGCGCAAUUGCUGAGAGGGCGCGCACACACACGCAAUCCACAUACACUUACACGUAAACGUGCACACACAAAUCCGUCCAUGUGAGAGCAGGUCGGUGUCUAUAAGCAGUAGAUGCAACGUGCGCAGCAGCGCGUCCGGUGAGACGUCGAUCAGGAAGCGUGGCUGAAUCCUCUGGACUAACAGCCGGGAGGACAUUGGACAGGUUGACGCGUCUGUGGAGGACACGCGCGCUCUUCGCGCAACAGAUCGCAAGAAUCGUGGGUGGUUGGAGCGCACAAGUUAAAAAGUUUCCGCCAUGAACCAAACGGCUGGAGCCACGAAUGCGUACCGCAGAUGCUCCAAAGGGGGGAAGGAGCUGGUGGGCAGCAACCCUCCGCAGAGGAACUGGAAGGGAAUAGCGAUCGCCCUCCUUGUCAUUCUGGUCAUCUGCUCGCUGAUCGUCACCUCCGUCAUCCUGCUGACACCAGGGGAAGACGACCACCUGGCUCUGAAGGGCAAGGUGACUGUCGCGGACCUCUUCGGGAAAGACUUCAAGGUGCACGACCCGCACGCCAAGUGGAUAAGCAGUAAG